rnacentral:rRNA from 1 species
UACGUAGGGGGGCACGUGUCGGAUUCGAUUUGGUGCGUAAAGAGCGUGUAGGCGGCCAGGUAGGUCACUGUGAAAACUCGAGGCUCAACCUCGAGACGUCGGUGAAACCAUCUGGCUAGAGUCCGGAAGAGGAGAGUGGAAUUCCUGGUGUAGCGGUGAAAUGCGCAGAUAUCAGGAAGAACACCCGUGGCGAAGGCGGCUCUCUGGGACGGUACUGACGCUGAGGAGCGAAAGCAUGGGGAGCGAACAGG